UUUGAAUAGAUAUUUAUUUAUUUUAGUAUAUUACACUUCGGCCUUGUAACAUCCCAAAAAUUUUAAGACUCAAAUUUAGUUUUAAAAAAAUAAAAUAAAAUAUCUAUAAUUAAAUUAAAAUUUAGAAUAAUUUGAUAGAGGUCCAGAAUUUGAAUUUUUCUCAACAAAAGUUUGGUUUUAUUUGAUUUUUAACUAUGAGAAAAAUUACCAAAGUUGACCUGGGCUUUUGUGCUAUAAUAAAAAAUGUUGGGCCAUUUCUUGUAAUUUUCCCCAAAGUCUUAUAUCAGCCUUUUUAAGGGGAAAACAGACGCAGAAAACAUAGAAAUGAAACAAGAAAAAGAAAGGAAACGCGUGAGAGAGAGAGAGGAAGAAGAAAGGAGAAAGAGAGGGAGUUAGGCUCAGAUCUAGGAGGCUCUGCGGCCGUUGCGACCUCGACUACGCGAUAGGAAUUGUUGGUGGAAUUUGUUCGGAAGUUAAGGAAUAAGCCGAGCCCUAUUUUGUACAAGAGGAACCCUUUUGGUACCAAAGGAUUAAGGUCCAAGCGAAGGAAUCAAUGGAGGACAGGGAAAGGAGCAGAGCUAGGGGUUGUUUGUGAAUUGUAAAGAACUGCAACCCUUUUCUUUUGAGCAAAUCUAUUGUAAUGUAUUUAGGAUUAGGGUGCCAGUAGGAUAUGCUCAUGUAUAUGUGCGUGAGUAUGUGUGGAUUGUAUGGCUUGUGUAUGAAUUUUUGUCUGCUUGUAGACUUGUAGCUAGAAAACUUGGCUAUGGUGUGUGGUUUUGAUAGAUUUAUUUAGUAGACCAAGUUUUCACUACAAGCAAAUGUUUAUUUUGAUAUAUAUGUGAUUCCACAAGCAAAUGCAAAAUGGUUGCAUUGCAAAUGAUGUGUUAUGGGUAAACAUAUACCUUGGACAGAGAGAGUGGGUGCGUGGGCCCCACAGAGAUCUUUGAGCCAAGUGAAAAUGUUUAGCGUGUAUAUUCAUAUGUGUAUAUGAUAUUUGGAAUAGUUUUUGGCCACUCUUGUGUGAUUUGUGCAUUU